GCGUCGGUGGUUUAGUGGUAGAAUACUCGCCUGCCACGCGGGUGGCCCGGGUUCGAUUCCCGGCCGACGCA
rnacentral:tRNA from 1 species